rnacentral:rRNA from 1 species
UACGUAGGGUGCAAGCGUUAAUCGGAAUUACUGGGCGUAAAGGGCGCGUAGGCGGCCAUCUAAGUCAGACGUGAAAUCCCCCGGCUUAACCUGGGAACUGCGUCUGAUACUGGAAGGCUUGAGUAUGGGAGAGGGAUGUAGAAUUCCAGGUGUAGCGGUGAAAUGCGUAGAUAUCUGGAGGAAUACCGGUGGCGAAGGCGGCAUCCUGGACCAUUACUGACGCUGAGGCGCGAAAGCUAGGGGAGCAAACGGG